CAUAAAUAUUUUUGACGUCAUGGAAUGGAAAGACAAAGUUAGGAAUAUUUUCAAUGUGAUAUUUAUGUUGUAUACGUGUGUAACGGCCCGUUUUGACUAGGCCCAUUUUGACUAACCGAUCCACAAUUUUAUUUCAACCCACUUUCUGCGGGCCACUUUACCAGUUGAUACAAAACUGUGAGAAGUUUUUCGACGAACAAAGAAAAAAAUGGAAAUUACGUGUUAAUAUUGUAGAAUAAAUUUUAUUUGCGAUAUCAGACUCUUACAAACAUACAACAAUGUUGGGCCAAUGAUGUUCCAACAUUCUAAAGUAUUACCCAGCUAUGAAACCAUUCAUGUGUCGCAAAGAGAACAUUGAUAGUGGGCAGCAAAACGUAUUAAGAGUUACCUCCCUUGAUAAUGCGAAGGAGCCGUCUGGCAUAAGGGCUAUUCACUGUACAUCAAUAAAGGAGGUUCCAGCCUGCGUCCCUGAGACAAGGUAUGCAUGAUUAACUAUGUAUAGACUGUACUUUGUUUUAUCUGGAAGGAUUUGUUCAAAUAUAUAUGCCAAAAGUAAGUAACUAUAGAUCUAAAUGUAUUAUUAUUAUUGUUGUUAUCUUGUGCCUUUAUACUGUCCAUACCCAUGAUAUUUAUAUCAAAUUAUGUAUGUUUUAGGGCAGAUCCGGACUAUCGUGAAGUUCUCACUCUACGCCCAUUGAAAAUAAAUCCCUUCUGACCCAA